rnacentral:rRNA from 1 species
UUGGGCACUUUAAGGUGACUGCCGGUGACAAACCGGAGGAAGGUGGGGAUGACGUCAAAUCAUCAUGCCCCUUAUGACCUGGGCUACACACGUGCUACAAUGGGCAGAACAAAGGGCAGCGAAGCCGCGAGGCUAAGCCAAUCCCACAAAUCUGUUCUCAGUUCGGAUCGCAGUCUGCAACUCGACUGCGUGAAGCUGGAAUCGCUAGUAAUCGCGGAUCAGCAUGCCGCGGUGAAUACGUUCCCGGGCCUUGUACACACCGCCCGUCACACCACGAGAGUUUGUAACACCCGAAGUCGGUG